rnacentral:rRNA from 1 species
AUUGAACGCUGGCGGCAUGCCUUACACAUGCAAGUCGAACGAGUGGCGAACGGGUGAGUAAUACAUCGGAACGUGCCCUGUAGUGGGGGAUAACUAGUCGAAAGAUUAGCUAAUACCGCAUACUAUAGGAGCGGCCGAUGUCUGAUUAGCUAGUUGGUGGGGUAAAGGCCCACCAAGGCGACGAUCAGUAGCUGGUCUGAGAGGACGAUCAGCCACACUGGGACUGAGACACGGCCCAGACUCCUACGGGAGGCAGCAGUGGGGAAUUUUGGACAAUGGGCGAAAGCCUGAUCCAGCAAUGCCGCGUGUGUGAAGAAGGCCUUCGGGUUGUAAAGCACUUUUGUCCGGAAAGCGGUACCGGAAGAAUAAGGACCGGCUAACUACGUGCCAGCAGCCGCGGUAAUAC